rnacentral:rRNA from 1 species
UACGUAGGGUGCAAGCGUUAAUCGGAAUACUGGGCGUAAAGCGUGCGCAGGCGGUUAUGUAAGACAGAUGUGAAAUCCCCGGGCUCAACCUGGGAACUGCAUUUGUGACUGCAUAGCUAGAGUACGGUAGAGGGGGAUGGAAUUCCGCGUGUAGCAGUGAAAUGCGUAGAUAUGCGGAGGAACACCGAUGGCGAAGGCAAUCCCCUGGGCCUGCACUGACGCUCAUGCACGAAAGCGUGGGGAGCAAACAGG